rnacentral:rRNA from 1 species
AACGAACGCUGGCGGCAGGCCUAACACAUGCAAGUCGAACGCUCGUAGCAAUACGAGAGUGGCAGACGGGUGAGUAACACGUGGGAACCUUCCCUUUGGUUCGGAAUAGCUCAGGGAAACUUGAGGUAAUACCGGAUAAGCCCUUACGGGGAAAGAUUUAUCGCCAUAGGAUGGGCCCGCGUCGGAUUAGCUAGUUGGUGAGGUAACGGCUCACCAAGGCGACGAUCCGUAGCUGGUCUGAGAGGAUGAUCAGCCACACUGGGACUGAGACACGGCCCAGACUCCUACGGGAGGCAGCAGUGGGGAAUAUUGGACAAUGGGCGCAAGCCUGAUCCAGCCAUGCCGCGUGAGUGACGAAGGCCUUAGGGUUGUAAAGCUCUUUUGG